UGUACCUUUUGUAUCAGGGAUAGUUUAUAUAAGAUUAUGAGUAUUCUUUCUCGAAAAGAAAAGAUUUAGAUGACAAUGGUGAGCUCAUGUAAAAGCAUUAGAGGUUAUUGGUUUCUAGGUGUGAGAUGUAAAUCGAGUUUCUGUAUCUAGUUAUUUUAAGGUUAAAUUUAAUUUGAAUAUUAUUUUGGGAGGAAUAGUAGGAGUAAUUGUAGGGAUAAUCUUGUAAUUAGAAUAAUGGACGAGCUAUAAUAUUACGUUUUAGACUUAAAAUUAGUCAUUUGUAUGUAAUAAUUAAUGUAGUUAAUUUAWWGGUUUAGAGUUUCUUUAAGGGGAGUUAAAGUUAAAUGAUAAGCCACSUAAMUUAUGAAAUUAAUGAUUGUAUUAGUAGAAUAGAAAAAUAGAGUAUAAGAAUUCAGCAAAACUAAGUUUCGUCUGUUUAACAAAAAC
rnacentral:rRNA from 1 species